GAGGGUAUAGCUCGGUGGUAGAGUGUGUGCUUAGCAUGCACGAGGUUCUGGCUUCAAUCCCCAGUACCUUCA
rfam:Camelus ferus unplaced genomic scaffold scaffold593, whole genome shotgun sequence.